UACGUAGGGUGCGAGCGUUGUCCGGAAUUAUUGGGCGUAAAGAGCUCGUAGGCGGUUUGUCACGUCGGAUGUGAAAUCCCGGGGCUUAACUCCGAAACUGCAUUCGAUACUGCCGUGCUUGAGGACUGGAGAGGAGACUGGAAUUUACGGUGUAGCGGUGAAAUGCGUAGAUAUCGUAAGGAAGACCAGUGGCAAAGGCGGGUCUCUGGACAGUUCCUGACGCUGAGGCACGAAGGCCAGGGGAGCAAACGGG
rnacentral:rRNA from 1 species